rnacentral:tRNA from 1 species
UCUGAUUUAGCAUAUGUAUAAUGCAUGGGAUUGUAAAUCCCUUUAAAAUAUUAAUCAUUAAUCAGGU